rnacentral:rRNA from 1 species
AGUGAACGCUGGCGGUAGGCCUAACACAUGCAAGUCGAACGGCAGCACAGUAAGAGCUUGCUCUUACGGGUGGCGAGUGGCGGACGGGUGAGGAAUACAUCGGAAUCUACUUUUUCGUGGGGGAUAACGUAGGGAAACUUACGCUAAUACCGCAUACGCCCUACGGGUGAAAGCAGGGGAUAUUCGGACCUUGCGCGAUUGAAUGAGCCGAUGUCGGAUUAGCUAGUUGGCGGGGUAAAGGCCCACCAAGGCGACGAUCCGUAGCUGGUCUGAGAGGAUGAUCAGCCACACUGGAACUGAGACACGGUCCAGACUCCUACGGGAGGCAGCAGUGGGGAAUAUUGGACAAAGGGCGCAAGCCUGAUCCAGCCAUACCGCGUGGGUGAAGAAGGCCUUCGGGUUGUAAAGCCCUUUUGUUGGGAAAGAAAAGCAGCAGGUUAAUACCCCGCUGUUCUGACGGUACCCAAAGAAUAAGCACCGGCUAACUUCGUG